UUUCCUACGGGACGCAGCAGUGGGGGAUAUUGCACAAUGGGGGAAACCCUGAUGCAGCGACGCCGCGUGAGUGAAGAAGUAUUUCGGUAUGUAAAGCUCUGUCAGCAGGGAAGAAAAAAGACGGUACCUGACUAAGAAGCCCCGGCUAACUACGUGCCAGCAGCCGCGGUAAUACGUAGGGGGGAAGCGGUAUCCGGAUUUACUGGGUGUAAAGGGAGCGUAGACGGCAAUACAAGGCGGAAGUGAAGUACCCGGGCUCAACCUGGGAACUGCUUUGGAAACUGUAUGGC
rnacentral:rRNA from 1 species